GAUGAACGCUAGCGGCAGGCCUAACACAUGCAAGUCGAGGGGCAUCAUGGCGUAGCAAUACGCUGAUGGCGUACCGGCGCACGGGUGCGUAACGCGUAUGGAACCUACCCACCGCAGGGGGAUAACCCGCCGAAAGGCGGACUAAUACCCCAUGGUUCCCCGACCCUGCCUGGGGUUGGGGGUAAAGCCUACGGGCGGCGGUGGAUGGCCCUGCGUGCCAUUAGCUGGCUGGUGGGGUAACGGCCCACCAGGGCGACGAUGGCUAGGGGGUCUGAGAGGACGAUCCCCCACACUGGUACUGAGACACGGACCAGACUCCUACGGGAGGCAGCAGUGAGGAAUAUUGGACAAUGGAUGGAAAUCUGAUCCAGCCAUGCCGCGUGCAGGAAGACGGCCCUAUGGGUUGUAAACUGCUUUUAUAUGGGAGCAAUAAGGUUUACGAGUAGACCGAUGAGAGUACCAUAUGAAUAAGCAUCGGCUAACUCCGUG
rnacentral:rRNA from 1 species